CUCAUCUCCAUAAUCAAGCCGCUUCAAAUCCUCUGCCCUGCCACUUACACUCUGCCAGAUCAUAAUCUCUGCUUUCUUUCUCCUGCUCUGACUCCAGUCCCUGUUUCCCUCGCCUCACCAAGCCUGCUGAUCUGCCUCCACCUGCCUGCUCCCCUCUGUAUCCCUGCCCUACACCCAUUCACUGGAUUUCCCACUGGACCUGCUCCCUCUGCCUCUGACUGACCUUGCCCCUACCUCAAUCUCUGGCUCCCAGUUAUCAGCUCAAGCUACCUGAUAACUUGCAAUAAAUAUCUUUAACUUAUCUCCUUGUCUGAGCCAGUCGGUACACAUCUCCAGCCAUUCCAAACAGCCAGCGUACAUCAGCUGGCACCUCUGGGAUCCACUCCACAAGCCUGGGGCAGAGCAGAACUUAUAUUAUAUACACAUGCAACUUGGUCAUGGAGUGGAAAUGACUUUGAAAUGUAGAACUCAUUUGCUUAAAGGUGGCAUACUGUCAUUGAUGAGACCUACACCUCACCUCUGG